rnacentral:rRNA from 1 species
AAUAGAUACCCUGGUAGUCCACGCCGUAAACGUUGGGCGCUAGAUGUGGGGACCAUUCCACGGUUUCCGCGUCGUAGCUAACGCAUUAAGCGCCCCGCCUGGGGAGUACGGCCGCAAGGCUAAAACUCAAAGGAAUUGACGGGGGCCCGCACAAGCGGCGGAGCAUGCGGAUUAAUUCGAUGCAACGCGAAGAACCUUACCAAGGCUUGACAUAUGCGAGAACGCUCUAGAAAUAGAGAACUCUUUGGACACUCGUAUACAGGUGGUGCAUGGUUGUCGUCAGCUCGUGUCGUGAGAUGUUGGGUUAAGUCCCGCAACGAGCGCAACCCUCGUCGCAUGUUGCCAGCACGUAAUGGUGGGAACUCAUGUGAGACUGCCGGGGUCAACUCGGAGGAAGGUGGGGAUGACGUCAAAUCAUCAUGCCCCUUAUGUCUUGGGCUUCACGCAUGCUACAAUGGCCGGUACAAAGGGCUGCGAAACCGCAAGGUGGAGCGAAUCCCAAAAAGCCGGUCUCAGUUCGGA